UACGUAGGGACCAAGCGUUGUUCGGAUUUACUGGGCGUAAAGGGCGCGUAGGCGGCGUGACAAGUCACUUGUGAAAGCCCACGGCUCAACCGUGGAAGUGCAUCCGAAACUGCAUGGCUUGAGUCUCGGAGAGGAAGGUGGAAUGCUUGGUGUAGAGGUGAAAUUCGUAGAUAUCAAGCAGAACACCUGCGGCGAAGGCGGCCUUCUGGACGAUGACUGACGCUGAGACGCGAAAGCGUGGGGAGCAAACAGG
rnacentral:rRNA from 1 species